rnacentral:rRNA from 1 species
UGGCGGCCGUAGCGCGGUGGUCCCACCUGACCCAUGCCGAACUCAGAAGUGAAACGCCGUAGCGCCGAUGGUAGUGUGGGGUCUCCCCAUGCGAGAGUAGGGAACUGCCAGACA